UAAAAAUCUGGGCAGAGAACGAUAUAAGAAAGAAAGAAAUCAGUGCUGCAAAGCUCUUGUAAAAGGUGAUUUCUCCUUUCACUCCAUGACUGAGCAAAAUGAGGCACAAAAAGGUACAGACUAGCUGAAAUACAGACAGCAAGUGAGUGACAGAUACAGGACUGGAAGAUCCAAGAGAGUCUGAAACAAUGUACACUGCGCGUCAGUCCCAACGCCAGCUUGUUCCAGCUCUUCCUGAGUGCUAGGCCCAUCUAGCCUCACGCAGAUCUCUAGACGGACCCCGUAGCGCAACUGGCACAAACCAGGACCACAGCCCUGCGGCAAGGCAGGAGUGUCCUCCUCCAGCAGAGUUAAGAUUGGAAGAGACGGAGGCAGAGGUGGAGGCGGGGGCAAAAGAGAAUUCGGAGGAGGAGGUGAGGAGGAGGAAAGGGGAGGAGGGAAGGGGGAGGGGAAGAAGAGGGGAAGGAAAAUGUUGGAGGAGGAGGGGGAAAGAAACAGGAGGAGGAGGAGGAGAAGGGGGAGGAGAACCAGGAGGAGGGG
rnacentral:lncRNA from 1 species